rnacentral:rRNA from 1 species
AGCGGCAGCGACUUAACUGAACCUUCGGGGAACGUUAAGGGCGGCGAGCGGCGGACGGGUGAGUAUGCCUGGGAAUUGCCCUGAUGUGGGGGAUAACCAUUGGAAACGAUGGCUAAUACCGCAUAAUCUCUUCGGAGCAAAGAGGGGGACCUUCGGGCCUCUCGCGUCAGGAUAUGCCCAGGUGGGAUUAGCUAGUUGGUGAGGUAAGGGCUCACCAAGGCGACGAUCCCUAGCUGGUCUGAGAGGAUGAUCAGCCACACUGGAACUGAGACACGGUCCAGACUCCUACGGGAGGCAGCAGUGGGGAAUAUUGCACAAUGGGCGCAAGCCUGAUGCAGCCAUGCCGCGUGUGUGAAGAAGGCCUUCGGGUUGUAAAGCACUUUCAGUAGGGAGGAAGGUGUUGUCGUUAAUAGCGGCAACAUUUGACGUUACCUACAGAAGAAGCACCGGCUAACUCCGUGCCAGCAGCCGCGGUAAUACGGAGGGUGCGAGCGUUAAUCGGAAUUACUGGGCGUAAAGCGCAUGCAGGUGGUGAGUUAAGUCAGAUGUGAAAGCCCGGGGCUCAACCUCGGAGUUGCAUUUGAAACUGGCUGACUAGAGUACUGUAGAGGGGGGUAGA